UACAGAGGGGGCAAGCGUUGUUCGGAAUUACUGGGCGUAAAGGGCGCGUAGGCGGCCUUCUAAGUCGAACGUGAAAUCCCUGGGCUCAACCCAGGAACUGCGUCCGAUACUGGAAGGCUUGAAUCCGGGAGAGGGAUGCGGAAUUCCAGGUGUAGCGGUGAAAUGCGUAGAUAUCUGGAGGAACACCGGUGGCGAAGGCGGCAUCCUGGACCGGUAUUGACGCUGAGGCGCGAAAGCCAGGGGAGCGAACGGG
rnacentral:rRNA from 1 species